GACGAACGCUGGCGGCGUGCUUAACACAUGCAAGUCGAACGGAAAGGCCCUGCUUUUGUGGGGUGCUCGAGUGGCGAACGGGUGAGUAACACGUGAGUAACCUGCCCUUGACUUUGGGAUAACUUCAGGAAACUGGGGCUAAUACCGGAUAGGAGCUCCUGCUGCAUGGUGGGGGUUGGAAAGUUUCGGCGGUUGGGGAUGGACUCGCGGCUUAUCAGCUUGUUGGUGGGGUAGUGGCUUACCAAGGCUUUGACGGGUAGCCGGCCUGAGAGGGGGACCGGCCACAUUGGGACUGAGAUACGGCCCAGACUCCUACGGGAGGCAGCAGUGGGGAAUAUUGCACAAUGGGCGGAAGCCUGAUGCAGCAACGCCGCGUGCGGGAUGACGGCCUUCGGGUUGUAAAACGCUUUCGCCUGUGACGAAGCGUGAGUGACGGUAAUGGGUAAAGAAGCACCGGCUAACUACGUG
rnacentral:rRNA from 1 species